rnacentral:lncRNA from 1 species
AAAAAAAAAAAGUAAUAUGAGAACUCCUAUGGCCUCCCUCUAAUAUGAGAACUCCUAUGGCCUCCCUCUAAUGCUGUAAUGCUUAUUGUGAGGGUCAUUUUCCAUUAUCCGCACACAUGUAACAUGAGAAUGAUAUUUUCAAGGAAUUGUUGCAAAUGAGACCCUUGCCUUUGCAUAUGGUAAAAAGUAUCUUGAUCUUGUGACGUGAAAUCAGAGAGACUAGACUUUUUUAUAAACUUUGAACUCAAUCAAUCAAUGACACACCCCACUAUCUGCUUUCCCCAAAAACGACUUUUGCUGCCUUCUUUUUAUGUGAGAUACGUUUGGUUUCCUCAUCUAUUUGAAGAUGUGCAGGGCCAGCAAUAAGGAAGGUCUGGGACAAGCCAGCCCUAGCUUGAGCCUGGACGUGGUUCCCAUAGGACAGGCCUAAACCCCACCAGCC